rnacentral:rRNA from 1 species
UACAGAGGUCUCAAGCGUUGUUCGGAUUCAUUGGGCGUAAAGGGUGCGUAGGUGGCGCCGUAAGUCGGGUGUGAAAUUUCGGAGCUUAACUCCGAAACUGCAUUCGAUACUGCGGUGCUUGAGGACUGGAGAGGAGACUGGAAUUCAUGGUGUAGCAGUGAAAUGCGUAGAGAUGUGGAGGAACACCGAUGGCGAAGGCAGCCUCCUGGGCCAGCACUGACGCUCAUGCACGAAAGCGUGGGGAGCAAACAGG